rnacentral:rRNA from 1 species
GAUGCAGAGUAAAACUCAAAAAACGGUACUCAGUUCGGAUUGAAGGCUGAAAAUUCGCCUUCCAUGAAGCUGGAAUUGCUAGUAAUGGCAGGUCAGCAUACUGCCGUGAAUACGUUCCCGGGCCUUGUACACACCGCCCGUCACACCAUGAGAGUUGGAAAUACCCGAAGCCUGUGAGCUAACUUAAAGAGGCAGCAGUCGAAGGUAGAGCCAAUGAUUGGGGUGAAGUCGUAACAAGGUACC